AGGCAUGCGCAGUAUGUCGUCAGUUGACUAUUGCAUGCAACUUCUUGCAAUUGCGCGAUAAUCGGUUUGGUGCCAUUUUUUCUGCAAGUUUUCAUGCAAGUCUAGGGGAAUUUGAUUUUUCCACAAUAUCAAAUGUCAUUGACGACACGGAUUCACGAAUACAUGCCGAUCAGCUGUUUUCUGUUUGUGAAAUAUUAUAUCAACGAUGGAAAUGAAUGAAUAAUGAAAUGGCACUUUCUGAGAUUCUAUAAUUAUUGUAAAUUGUAUAUUAAGCUACGGAAGCUCUCUCUCCUCUAGCUAAGUACCUUAGGAUAAUAAUUAAUUUGUGUUUCGCAGAAAUAGUAUUUCGAAAUAUAGAUUCCUUUGUAAUUGUUCAAUUUUUGCCAAGGGUUUAUUAAAAUGUACAUUCAUUCCUAGAAAAUUAGAGUCAUUUUCAUCAUCUACUUGGAUAAAUUCUGUUGGAGAUACAUUAUUACCCCUCUUCUUGUUCAACUAAGAUCUUACUCACCAGCUCCGAUCUCGGUGUUCUAAAUUAGUGACUAAAAGGCUGGCUGCAGUAAUAAUAAUACUUAAAGUUGCUGCUACCGCCUUUUUCCUUUUAUAUUUGGUUAUUUCUGAUAGUCUUGGCAUUUCGAAAUUUACCAAGUUAAAUAAACAGCAAUAAAGUAAUUAAAAAAAAACAAAAGUUUAUAAGUUAGGUUAAGGGUAAAAUUUCAAAUUGCAUGCAAGCCGGGUUGCAAGCUGUAAAAGACCAUGCAAUUGACUUGCAUGAAAGUCUUGCAUGCAAGAGUAUUGCAGCAAGUUUUCUUGCAAGCUGUAAAGCGGUCUUUAAAAAGAGAUGCAGCAAACCAGUCCAUGAGAUCUUGUUGUCAGGAAGCGCGGAAG
rnacentral:lncRNA from 1 species